GGCAGUAAUUGUUAAUUAUCAUUUGCAACCCAAAAGGAAAGUGACUAAUGAAUUAACUAAAGGUUUCAUGUGGGCUAGAUUGGCCCUCAACUUCAUACGUUCAAGGGUGAUCUUGAACUCUGCAUCUUCUCACAUCUACCCCAGGUGCUGGGAUAUGGAAAUAUGCCACUAUACCCUGCGACAGAAAGUUUUCUUUUUCCCUUUGUGGUACUGGGGAUUGAACCAAGGACUUCCAGUAUGCCAGCCAGGUCUUACUACGUGCCCUGGCCGGUCUGAAGCCUGCAGUGCGCUUCCUGUCUCUGCAGUGAAGCCAGUGACUGUGGGGAGCAGCAUUCCCUCUUCGCUUCUGACUGUGCCGCACUGUGAACAGCUGCUCUACACUCCGCCCACUAGGCUUCCCUGCCAUGAUAGACACACCCAGAGUAUGAGCCAAGGCAAACCUUUCCUUCCCCAAGUUGCUGUCAGAUACUCUGUGACUAGUGACUAGUAAGCAUAUUUAUACACCUCUUCCCAUAUCUUUCAGCAUGGUCUGAAAAACCAGAAUGU